CAGAACGUAAACAUGCCGGAAAAAUUGUAAUAGAAAUAUAAAGUUCAAAGUUGUAAAAAUCAAAGAUAUUUUGAAGGAUUUCUCGUUAAUUUUUCACUUGAUCGCUGAAAGAUGUCACAGAUUGAGAAACUGCAAAUUGAAGGCAUCCGAAGCUACCGUGAACCUGCUGUCAUCGAGUUUUUUACUCCGCUCACAUUGAUAGUUGGGUCAAAUGGUGCUGGGAAAACGGUUUGUUUUUAUAUUGUAUUUUUGUAUGAAAUAGUGUUGUUUUAUAUAGAUCAUGCUCAACUAACGUUGUGCUUUGUUGCAGACAAUCAUUGAAGCACUUAAUUACAUAACAACCGGAGAUAUGCCACCGAACAGUAAAGGAGCUGCCUUUGUAUUUGAUCCAAAGGU